GGUGUGAGCUGGGGGAAGACUGAAGGAAGAUGGGAAGUGAAGCAGGGAAGGAGAGAAAGAAACACAGGUUGGUGCAUGAUUGAGCUGGUCACAGCUCAGAGCGAAGCACACCAGGUCACUCAGCCAUGCAACAUCUUCAGAGAAGCCAGGACUAGAAGAAGAAGAAAGAGGCAUCUCCUGGUGAUUUUCCAUCAUCUGUCUUUCACUGGUCCAAACUGACCCUACGGGCCUUAACUCCCCUGGAAGUGUGGUCCCUUCAGACAGCUUCUGGGAAGCCACAUCCCAGGGCACAGUGCUUUAUCUGGGUCUAGAAAGAGUGAGAUGAGCCAGAGCCUCUGCAUGGCUACUUGGGUUGGACCAGGACACCAGAGUUGCUGUGGUUCCAUGGAGGGUAAGACGCCAGGCCUAGGGGCAGACAUCACCCGGUGGGAGGUGGAGCCUGUAGCAGUUAGAAGAUGAGCUGGCAUGGGGCCUGGGCUCCCCUGAGCAAGUAAGUGAGGCUGGGGGUGUCACUGGGGGUGCAACCAGUGGAGCUAAGUCAACCCGGAGAGGUCUGUGAGUUAAGUACAAGCUCCAGGGAGAGUUUGCAUCUGCGAACUCCUCUCAUCUCUGACGCAGUCCUGGGCUGUCAACAGGAUGUAAAAUCUGAAGCCCUGGAUUUCAGAUGUGGGAAGUCCGGUCUUCUCCAAGUGACCCAUCCAGGAUCACAGAUCAACCAAGGGUGGCACACAUGGGUCUUCAGACUCUGAGCCCAGUGCUCUUUCCACUGUGCUACGUGGUUGCAAAACAUUCUCAGAUUUCCAUUUCUGGGACUGUGUUUGGUUUGGAGGCACCUGCUGAAAGACAGAGCAGCACGUCCCGAGUCUUGUUUCCUAUUUUCAGCGACUUCGGGGCAGUGGAGCAGCAGCAGAUCCAGAUAUUCGAUAAAUGUGACGGUGGUGACGAUGACGGCAAUGACCACAAAGACAAUGGCCUCCUGGGAAGCUGAGCUCCUUAGGUCUUCGUCUGUGAGUGGAGUGGGCGGUAACUCACAGGAGUUAAGAAUGUGUUGUCUGUGGAGUCAUAAAAACCCGGGUUUGAAUCUCAACUAUUAGCAGCUCCUUGAGCAAAAUCCUUUCUUCUCUGUGCCUCAGCUGCUUUAAAACUGUAAAACUGUAAAACUGUAAACCUGUAAAACUGAGUUUGACUAUGUCUUUUUGAGGAAGUAAGGUAACACCUGUGAAAUGGAUUGCUUGCAAAAAUGACCCAAUUUUUCACACCCUGCCAUAUCUGUGCCCCUUUGCCAUGCUUCCUGUCAAGGGGCAGAGUCACUUCCUUCCUUUCUUCGCUGCCUUCAAUGCUGAUGGCCUUGUAACUCGAUGUGGCCAACUGACUAUCCCUGCUCACUUUGAGUAAGUAUCUCUUCUUAUUCUGGGACCUCACCACCACCCUAUGAAGAGGCUCAAUCUUACCUGAAGGAUGAAGACACAUUAAUCAGUCAUCCCCCUUGACCCAGCCGACAGUCAAUCAAUCCCCAGAAGCAGAGGCAGCCUGCUGGCCCACAGCUAACCACAGACAUGUUGGACAGUCAACACCAGAAGAACUGCCCCACUGAACCAAACUUGUACUGCCGAUCCACAAAAUUGUGACCAAAAUAAACAGUUGUGAUUAUAAAUCA
rnacentral:lncRNA from 13 species